GACGAACGCUGGCGGCGUGCUUAACACAUGCAAGUCGAACGGUAAGGCCCUUCGGGGUAUACGAGUGGCGAACGGGUGAGUAACACGUGGGUGAUCUGCCCUGCACUUCGGGAUAAGCCUGGGCAACUGGGUCUAAUACCGGAUCGGACCACUGCCUGCAUGGGUGGUGGUGGAAAGCUUUUGCGGUGUGGGAUGGGCCCGCGGCCUAUCAGCUGGUUGGUGGGGUGAUGGCCUACCAAGGCGACGACGGGUAGCCGGCCUGAGAGGGUGACCGGCCACACUGGGACUGAGAUACGGCCCAGACUCCUACGGGAGGCAGCAGUGGGGAAUAUUGCACAAUGGGCGCAAGCCUGAUGCAGCGACGCCGCGUGAGGGAUGACGGCCUUCGGGUUGUAAACCUCUUUCAGCACCGACGAAGCGCAAGUGACGGUAGGUGCAGAAGAAGGACCGGCCAACUACGUGCCAGCCGCCGCGGUAA
rnacentral:rRNA from 1 species